GGGGAAUGAACAGGGGUGCACAAGCGGUGGGAGCAUGUGGUUUAUUUCGAAGGAACACGAAGAACCUUAACUGGCGCUGACAUCCACAGAAUACAGAAGAGAUGACUCGUUGUCUUUGAGAACACUGAGACAGGGGCUGCAUGUGUGUCGUGAGAUCGUGUUGUGAAAUGUUGGUUAAGUCCCACAUCGAGCGCAGCUCUUUAUUCUUUUGUUCCAGAGCGUAAUGUUGGGCACUCGAAGGAGACAGGCGGGGGACAAACCGGGGGGAAGGUGGGCAUGACGUGAAGUCAUCAUGUCCCUUACGGCUGGGGCUACACACGUGCUUCAAUGGAUACAUACAAAGAGAAGCGAUCUCGCGAGAGCAAGCGGACCUCAUAAAGUGCAUCGCAGUGCGGGAUCGGAGUCUGCAACUCGAACUCCGUGAAGUCGGAAAUCACUAGUAAACGCGAUCAG
rnacentral:rRNA from 1 species